rnacentral:ncRNA from 1 species
GGGUCCAGAAAAGUAUCUCUGGAGGAACCUCACGAUGGUCGGGCCGCUGUCG